ACGGGAGGCAGCAGUGGGGAAUAUUGCACAAUGGGGGAAACCCUGAUGCAGCGACGCCGCGUGAGUGAAGAAGUAUUUCGGUAUGUAAAGCUCUAUUAGCAGGGAAGAUAAUGACGGUACCUGACUAAGAAGCCCCGGCUAACUACGUGCCAGCAGCCGCGGUAAUACGUAGGGGGCAAGCGUUAUCCGGAUUUACUGGGUGUAAAGGGAGCGUAGACGGUUUGGCAAGUCUGAAGUGAAAGCCCGGGGCUCAACCCCGGUAUUGCUUUGGAAACUGUUGAACUAGAGUGCCGGAGGGGUAAGCGGAAUUCUUAGUGUAGCGGUGAAAUGCGUAGAUAUUAGGAGGAACACCAGUGGCGAAGGCGGCUUACUGGACUGUAACUGACGUUGAGGCUCGAAAGCGUGGGGAGCAAACAGGAUUAGAUACCCUGGUA
rnacentral:rRNA from 1 species